UACGGAGGAUCCAAGCGUUAUCCGGAUUUAUUGGGUUUAAAGGGUGCGUAGGCGGCCUAUUAAGUCAGGGGUGAAAGACGGUAGCUUAACUAUCGCAGUGCCCUUGAUACUGAUGGGCUUGAAUGUACUUGAGGUAGGCGGAAUGUGACAAGUAGCGGUGAAAUGCAUAGAUAUGUCACAGAACACCAAUUGCGAAGGCAGCUUACUAAAGUAUGAUUGACGCUGAGGCACGAAAGCGUGGGGAUCAAACAGG
rnacentral:rRNA from 1 species